rnacentral:rRNA from 1 species
GACGAACGCUGGCGGCGUGCCUAAUACAUGCAAGUCGAACGCAGUGGGGACGGGUGAGUAACACGUGGGUAACCUCCCAUCAGAGGGGAUAACACUUGGAAACAGGUGCUAAACCGAUACUGAUGGAUGGACCCGCGGUGCAUUAGCUAGUUGGUGAGGUAAAGGCCUACCAAGGCGACGAUCCGGAACUGGUCUCAGAGGAUGAUCAGUGAAACUGGAACUGAGACACGGGCGAGACUCCUACGGGAGGCAGCAGUGGGGAAUAGUGGACAAUGGGCGAAAGCCUGAACCAGCCAGGCAGCGUGUGUGAAGAAGGGCUUAGGAUUGUAAAGCACUUGAAGUUGGGAGGCGUUACCAACAGAAUAAGCACCGGCUAACUUCGUGCCAGCAGCCGCGGUAAUAC